GUUCUUAUAGUUGAAAUACAACGAUG
rnacentral:tRNA from 1 species